rnacentral:rRNA from 1 species
GACGAACGCUGGCGGCGUGCUUAACACAUGCAAGUCGAACGGAAAGGCCCUCCUUCCCUGGGGUGUUCCAGUGGCUCAAGUGUCAAAAAGGCGAGUGACACCUGCCUUAUCUUCUGCCAACAUUUGUAGAAGCCUGGGCAACUGCCGGAAUUGCGCUCAGGCCGCAAGGGGGGGGUCGGGAAGUUUCGGCGGGUGGGGAUGGGCUCGGGGCGUAGCAGCUUGCUGGUGGGGUAGUGGCUUACCAAGGCUCUGCCGGGUCGCCGGCCUGAGAGGGUGACCGGCCACAUUGGGACUGAGAUACGGCCCAGACGCCGACGGGAGGCAGGAGUGGGGAAUGUUGCACUGUGGGCGGAAGCCUGAGUCAGCAACGCCGCGUGCGGGAUUACGGCCUUCGGGUUGUAGACCGCUUGCGCCUGGGACGAAGGGUGAGUGACGGUAAUGGUAGAAGAAGCACCGGCUAACUACGUG